UUUUGGUAGCUUACAAUGUGUUUGAUGAAAUGCCUCAAUGAAGCAUUUGGUUGAUUUUUGAUUGAUUUUUGUUCGUUCGAAUUAAGAAAUCAAGGCCAAGGGAGAUGUCAUGGCUAUGGGCUGAAGCUUUGAGAAAAAGAGAAUGAAAAAUGAAAUUUGCUUUGAUUGAAGGAUAGAGGGAAGUGAUUAUUGAUAAUUAUAGGUAUGUUCUCUCUCCCUUUCUUACAAUAAGGAUAGUAACAACAAAAAUUACUACAUGUUCUAUAUUGAAAGGAAA